rnacentral:lncRNA from 1 species
ACGUGAUUUUCUUUUGUGUGCAAGCAGCCUUGGCAUUGAACUCCCACAAAAUGAUGAGUCAUGUGGAGCUGGUUGUUUCCUUGAGAAUAGCAAGGAGGAGGUGAAAAUCAUCUUUUGAAUUCAAGAGCCCAGGAGUGCCACGUGUGAAUUUAAUUUUACAGCAGAACCCAAGGCACAAAGUUCCCCCUGGUGCUUGAAGAGGAUCAGGAACUGCUUGGAGGACUCAGGAAUCCCACCCAAACCUGGAGCCAUUCCCCCAACAGGCACUCUGAAAUUGCCAUCAGCAGAAGCUGUUUAAAAAGGUAAGUGACUGCAAGCAAGAGAUAGAAUUAGCAUCAUCUGUUCUUUAAAACUA